rnacentral:tRNA from 1 species
AGUUUAUGAACUUGUAUAAGUAUAUAUUUUGAAAAUAUAAGAAAGAAAUUGAAUGUUCUAUAAACUU